rnacentral:rRNA from 1 species
UUGGCUCGAUUCUGACUCUCGGGGUCAUCUCCACCCUCUGUCUACCUACCUCUGUUGCUUUGGCAGUGGCCCGUGGCUCUCGCCACCGCCGGCUUCGGCUGGCCCGCGCCCGCCAGAGUCCUUAACCAAAACUCUGAUUACGUGUCGUCUGAGUAUAACUAAAAUGAAUCAAAACUUUCAACAACGGAUCUCUUGGUUCUGGCAUCGAUGAAAAACGCAGCGAAAUGCGAUAAGUAAUGUGAAUUGCAAAAUUCAGUGAAUCAUCGAAUCUUUGAACGCACAUUGCGCCCUUUGGUAUUCCGAAGGGCAUGCCUGUUCGAGCGUCAUUUACGGAUCAAGCUUCGUCUUGGUAUUGGGUCAUCGUCCGGUUAAGGGCGUACCUGAAAAUCAGUGGCGGUGCCCGUCCGGCUUCAAGCAUAGUAACUGUAUCUUGCUUUGGAAGUUCCGGCGGGUUCACCGGCCAGCAACCUCUUCUUUAACUAAGUUGACCUCGGAUCAGGUAGGGAUACCCGCUGAACUUAAGCAUAUCAAACGGGG